rnacentral:rRNA from 1 species
ACGAGCCUGCGAAGGCAAGCGGAUCUCUUAAAGCUGUUCUCAGUUCGGACUGCAGUCUGCAACUCGACUGCACGAAGCUGGAAUCGCUAGUAAUCGCGGAUCAGCACGCCGCGGUGAAUACGUUCCCGGGCCUUGUACACACCGCCCGUCACACCAUGGGAGCCGGUAAUACCCGAAGUCAGUAGUCCAACCUCGUGAGGACGCUGCCGAAGGUAGGAUUGGCGACUGGGGUGAAGUCGUAACAAGGUAUC